rnacentral:rRNA from 1 species
AGAGUUUGAUCCUGGCUCAGAACGAACGCUGGCGGCAGGCUUAACACAUGCAAGUCGAGCGCCCGCAAGGGGAGCGGCAGACGGGUGAGUAACACGUGGGAACAUACCCUUUACUACGGAACAACUCCGGGAAACUGGAGCUAAUACCGUAUGUGCCCUUCGGGGGAAAGAUUUAUCGGUAAAGGAUUGGCCCGCGUUGGAUUAGCUAGUUGGUGGGGUAAAGGCCUACCAAGGCGACGAUCCAUAGCUGGUCUGAGAGGAUGAUCAGCCACAUUGGGACUGAGACACGGCCCAAACUCCUACGGGAGGCAGCAGUGGGGAAUAUUGGACAAUGGGCGCAAGCCUGAUCCAGCCAUGCCGCGUGAGUGAUGAAGGCCUUAGGGUUGUAAAGCUCUUUCACCGAUGAAGAUAAUGACGGUAGUCGGAGAAGAAGCCCCGGCUAACUUCGUG